AUGCUAAAGUUUCUACUGGAAUCAACUCAUUUACUGAGUUCACCGCACUGGCUGAGGCUGAAGAAAAUAUUCUCUAGGAAGACACAGGCAGGAUGGUGCAAGAUCUUUGUGGAACCGGAUGGGUGUGUGACCCCUGUUCUGAUGUUUGAUGAUAUUUCUCAACUCCUGAAGAAUAAGGAACACAUCUUUAAAAAAAAAAUCAUGAAUCAACAAGAGGACAGCUGAGGGAUGAGAAGCCCUGAGGAACUGAGGAGAGAAACAUCCUGCUGUGGCCUUUGAGGUGACAAACAACCCCAACAGGACCGGAAAAAGUGCUCACGUGAAGUCGGGUUCCUUCCAGACUUGUUGACAAAAGGGAUUUUAAGUCAGCGAUCAUACAUCGGGAAACAACAGGGAAACAGAAAUCAUUCUGCAUUCUGUCAGCGAGGUGAGCAACUGUUGUGGAACUGGAGCACAUUCCUGACAUCGAACAAAAGAAAGUGUCAUUUGAGGCUAUGACUGAGCUGAGCAGGGGCAUCCGAACGUGUCUUUUGAUUUGGGUUGAGUCACUGGAUAGACAGAAAGAGCUCUUCUGGUUUGAUGGUUUCUAGUUUCACAACCUGAUUUGAAUUUCAAUUCUUCAGCUACGAGCUCAGGUUCACAGAGUGGCUCACCCAGGAGCCUGGCUAGAUGAGUAAAUGGCCCCGUACAACCCAUGGUCGCUGUUAAAAAAAAAAAAAAUAGUGAUCUUAUGUUUGUAGUCAUAUCUAUUUGUACUCCUCUUGUGAGUUCAAAGAAUUUAAGAACCUUUUUUACAUUUGCAUGGCUAUUUAUGUCAAAAUUUGUAAGGAUGGGUUGUCCCUGAGAGGAAACCAGAAUUGCUAAAAGCCAAGGAUGAUCUGAGGCAAGAAUAAGUGGGAAGCAAAUCUAGGACCAAGCCAUAAAGAUCAUUCCCAUCAAAGACAGGCUGGAAUGGCACCUAAGACACAGAGGAUCAGCCAGGGAAAGCAGGGCAGCACAACAGGAUUUUGAAGGACACUUAGCAUAGGAGGAAGGAGAGCAGACCAAGCAAAUGGAACAUUCUGAAAACAGGUAGAAAGUGAAGAAGGCAAACUUAAGAGCCUAUGGGAUAUGCAGUGAUGGGUCAGGUAAGAGGCAGGCCAGGCUGCUGCCAUUAUGUCCAAGCUUGCUACCUUCAGUUCCUGUCUGAGCUUGAUGCAAAGGCCACAUGAAACAGCUCUCGGGGCCAUAUAUGGACCUCAUGCCACUGGCUCUCUACCUGAGAUGUAGAGGGAGGUAGGACCAAGUUUGGUUCCUGAAGUAGGGGUUGGGACCAACUGGAGCAGAAAGUGUGUAUGGGUAAACCAUAUUGAAUUUGUGGGAUGGGAUUGAAAGCAUGUCUGGGUCUUAUAGCAGGACAUGGUGGGAUUAGGGAGAGAUUGGCAAACCUGAUGGUUAAAAAUAUUUCUGCUUCCUUUGUGUUGUUAUGUUGAAACUAUAUAUUUAAAAAGAAUGAUGUUUUCUAAUGGAAAUGUGUUCAGGGCAGCAUGGUGGGAUAAGUGAACAAACAUUUGUGUACUUUAGUGGGACUUUGGUGCUCCAUAUGUAUAUCUUUGGGCAGCUGAGGGCAUGAUUUUAGUAUUAACAAUGAAAGAAAUGCAUAAGUGUGGGUCCAUCUUUGAAUUUCCCUGACCUAUUAAUCUCAAAUGUUGUAUACCAAAGGAAGACUUCAAAACAAAAAAAUAAAGUGAACCAAAAAAGUAUCA
ensembl:lncRNA